GAUGAACGCUGGCGGCGUGCUUAACACAUGCAAGUCGAACGGAACUACUCCAAUGAGAGUCUUCGGAAAGGAUUUGGUUUAGUUUAGUGGCGGACGGGUGAGUAACGCGUGGGUAACCUGCCCUAUACAGGGGGAUAACAGUUGGAAACGACUGUUAAUACCGCAUAAGCGCACAGGAGCGCAUGCUCCGGUGUGAAAAACUCCGGUGGUAUAGGAUGGACCCGCGUCUGAUUAGCUGGUUGGCGGGGUAACGGCCCACCAAGGCGACGAUCAGUAGCCGGCCUGAGAGGGUGAACGGCCACAGUGGGACUGAGACACGGCCCAAACUCCUACGGGAGGCAGCAGUGGGGAAUAUUGCACAAUGGGGGAAACCCUGAUGCAGCGACGCCGCGUGAGCGAAGAAGUAUCUCGGUAUGUAAAGCUCUAUCAGCAGGGAAGAAAAUGACGGUACCUGACGAAGAAGCCCCGGCUAACUACGUG
rnacentral:rRNA from 1 species